GAAAUGCGAUAAGUAGUGUGAAUUGCAGAAUUCAGUGAAUCAUCGAAUCUUUGAACGCACAUUGCGCCCCCUGGCAUUCCGGGGAGCAUGCCCGUUUCAGAAUCAUCAGGUAACUCAUGCCGCACCAGGCGUGUGCCACACACGUCGGGUGAGGCUUGGAGGUUGGGCGGUUUGUGGCCUGGACGCAAUCCCCUCAAAAUGAUGGUGCGUGCCGCCACGGUUCGGUCGGCUUGGGCCUCAAAAAGCGCAACAGAGUUGAUCUAUUUCGCUGAGAGGCUCCCGUCUGGAUUUGGGGAAGCACGGUUGGACCCCCGCCCCUAACGGCGGGCGGCCCCACUUUGGUAACUUGGUCUGAAAUCGGGCGGGAGGACCCGCUGAACUUAA
rnacentral:misc_RNA from 1 species